GAGCAAAUGAUGUGAGGUAUUGAUAAAUUUUCUGAAUUCUCUAUGUUGCUUCAAACAUCGAGCUUUUUAAAACUGAUGCUCA